AACGAACGCUGGCGGCAGGCUUAACACAUGCAAGUCGAGCGAGACCUUCGGGUUUAGCGGCGGACGGGUGAGUAACGCGUGGGAACGUGCCCUUUACUACGGAAUAGCCCAGGGAAACUUGGAUUAAUACCGUAUACGCCCUUCGGGGGAAAGAAUUUCGGUGAAGGAUCGGCCCGCGUUGGAUUAGGUAGUUGGUGGGGUAAUGGCCUACCAAGCCGACGAUCCAUAGCUGGUUUGAGAGGAUGAUCAGCCACACUGGGACUGAGACACGGCCCAGACUCCUACGGGAGGCAGCAGUGGGGAAUCUUAGACAAUGGGGGCAACCCUGAUCUAGCCAUGCCGCGUGAGUGAUGAAGGCCUUAGGGUUGUAAAGCUCUUUCAGCUGGGAAGAUAAUGACGGUACCAGCAGAAGAAGCCCCGGCUAACUCCGUGCCAGCCGCCGCCGUAACAC
rnacentral:rRNA from 1 species